rnacentral:tRNA from 1 species
GAGGUUGUGGCUCAGCAGUAGAGCGCAGGUCUCGCACGCGUGGGACCCUGGGUUCGAUCCUCAGCACCACG